UUUUUCUUUUUCCCAACGCAGCCUUGGUGCUCUCCCUCAACCGUUUCCGUUUCCUUUUCCUUUUCUCUCAGAGAUUCAAUCGAAAAUUCUGGAGUUGUAUCAGAGUUACGAAGCACAAUCAGAGUUCAGGCGUUGCUUUUCCAUAGAUUGGGAAGAUCUUGGAGAAGGCCCUCGCACAAGUUCAAAUAUUUUGGAUUAACUAUAGAGAUCAGAUCAAGGGUGCUUAGUUC